UGCACCGUGGUGCAGUUGGUAGCAUUGUUGCUUGCAACAAGAAGGUCCUGGGUUCAAUUCCUGGCAGGGGGUCUUUCUGCAU